GUCCGGAUGGCGAAAUCGGUAGACGCAAGGGACUUAAAAUCCCUCGGGGGUAACCCCGUGCCGGUUCGACCCCGGCUCCGGGCACCA
rnacentral:tRNA from 1 species